CUGAGAGAAGAGGAGAACACAAGGGGGAGGUGGUGACCUCACAGAGACCUGGAGCACAUGGAAAGAUCUUGUUAGUGCUGCACUUACCAAUACAGACCUCUUGUAUCACUUACCAGGUCUGCAGAGCAAUAGCUUGAUUCAAGGAACUUACAAGUGCCUCAUACACAGUCAGCAAUGCUUGUAAACUCCACAAGCCAGGAAGUUACAAGUGCCACGAGCACUACAGGGCUAGGGACAAAGACUGCAGACCCACAGACUCCACUUCAUUUUGUGCACAGGAAAAGUUCUGGGAAAAUCUGAAUUGCAUUUCCUGACUGGUCAGCAGGGCGAGCCCAGCAGCUGACCAUGAACACCAGGGUCACAAAGGAGUUCCAGCCUGGAGCGUGCAGGCCAGGCAGAUACAGUAAUUUAUAUAAAAUCCAUCAGAUAUACCCCCACAAAAGGAAUUAUUCUGGGGACUGUGACGGGGCAGACAGGCCCCGCACUGAAGGGCAGAGAGUAGCCCAGGCCCAGCUGACUGAGAAGGCCCCGCCCAUCCAGCUCUGCUGGGCAUGCUCCCAGCAGAGCCAGAGUAUAAAAGGAGAGAGCCCUGCAGAUGAAGACUAUGAGAAGUCCCGACAAAGUGAUUUUUACCUAUGAUAGAUUAUGAAUAAAAUGUUAAGUCUGGAAGGGGCCACAGGACUCCUUGUUCUUUCAAAUAGUAUGGAAAUCAGUUUCAAAUUAUAUAAAUAAUUCUGCUACCAAUCUUAGCAGUCAGUUCCAACACACACAAUAUUAUACAGGAAAAAGUCUAAAUGACCUGUUUCCACCGUACUUUAGAUUCCUCUUUAAAAGUUAGGUUUUUAACUUAGUACUAAUGAUGCUCAUCGCAGCUGCAGAGGGAAAGUAGCAAAGCACUGGUCAUUUCAGCACCCGUUAUUAAGAAGAACGCUACAUGUAGUGGAAGUGGAUACCCAACUAUGGAUGGAGCGGGGCCAAAUCUGCAGAUACAGGGCUCUGGGCAGAGCAGGACAGACAUAUGUCCUGGAGUAGUAGCCAGGAACUUGGGUGAAGGAUAAGAGUAGCAGAGCUACCCCCAACCCACGUGGUCAGAGGGCUCAAGAACAGAAGGGGCAGACAGAAAGUUUCUUCUUUCCUCAACAAUAAGCCAGGUGGGACAGGAUGGGUUUAAACAUACGAGACUCAGUAGCCAAGAUGGAGUCCUCCAAGAUCCAG